UACGGGGGGAGCAAGCGUUGUUCGGGAUUUACGUGGGCGUGAAAGGCGCGGUAGGCGGCGUGACAAGUCACUUGUGAAAUCUCCGGGCUUAACUCGGAACGGUCAAGUGAUACUGUCGUGCUAGAGUACAGAAGGGGCAACUGGGAAUUCUCGGUGUAGCGGUGAAAUGCGUAGAUAUCGAGAGGAACACCUGCGGCGAAGGCGGGUUGCUGGGCUGAUACUGACGCUGAGGCGCGAAAGCUAGGGGAGCGAACGGG
rnacentral:rRNA from 1 species